UUUUGCAGCCAAGUUCAGGGGGAAUUUUAUUUAUUCUCUCUUUAUUUAAUAACACUGUUAAUAAUACUAUCGCGUGAUCAUAAUGUGGGGGCUUGGAGUGAAAAACUGCAAAUUGGGCUGAUAUAUGUGUGCAAUUUUUUAAGGUUACAAAUGAAAAGGUCAAAGCCCUCAUGGAGUUGGCAGAGUUGAAGCGGGACCAUCAGUUAUUGCAAGAGAAAGUUAAUCAGGCCUCUAGACAAGGAAAAUCUCUUGGUGAGAUUGCAGUGAAAAAGACUCUUCAGGAAAAAGAUGGAAGAUUGAAAAAUCUUCUGAAAACUUCUUAUCUGAGACGCUGGACUGGUUUACAAGAUUCAGAUGGAAAUGAUGCUGACAUUCAUCGAGAUUCUGAAGCCAACAACAUGGAUUUUGCAAGGAUGAAGAUAGAGA
rnacentral:misc_RNA from 1 species